UACGUAGGGUGCGAGCGUUUAAUCGGAAUUACUGGGCGUAAAGUGUGCGCAGGCGGCUUCGCAAGUCGAGUGUGAAAUCCCCGAGCUUAACUUGGGAAUUGCGCUCGAAACUACGGAGCUGGAGUGUGGCAGAGGAAGGUGGAAUUCCACGUGUAGCGGUGAAAUGCGUAGAGAUGUGGAGGAACACCGAUGGCGAAGGCAGGCCUUCUGGGCCAACACUGACGCUCAUGCACGAAAGCGUGGGGAGCAACAGG
rnacentral:rRNA from 1 species